ensembl:snRNA U6 U6 spliceosomal RNA
GUGCUCGCUUAAGCAGCACAUAUACUAAAAUUGAAAUGAUACAGAAAAGACUAGCAUGGCCUCUGUUCAAGGAAGACAUUCAAAUUUGCGAAGAGUUACACAUUUUU